AGCCGCACUCUGCUAUGCUUUUGGAGCAAAAUAACACACCCAGCUGCAGGCCGGGGAAGGCCAGGCUGGGAUUUCAGGGUGAGAGUUGCAGAAUGAUAUGGAAUAAUCAGGAAAGAGGCAAAGGUAAGUGCCGCUUGAUGAGCCUGGCCAUGGCAGGCUCAGCUGUUUGCAAGGUCCACAUGCCGGGAACAGGACCCCUUCUGCCAGGUGGAGAACAUGACCUCAUGUCUGGUUUAGGAUCCUGGAAGCAGGGAACUUUGCUGCAUGAAAGGAGCUGUUGGAGUUUGCUUGAAGUGGCUGAUUGAGUAAAGAAAACCACGAGGAUGACCCAGGGCACAGUUGGGGGCCGAGCAGUGGCAGGAGGCUUUGUCAACGAGGACGUCACAGCGAGAGGUCAGAAGAGAACAAUAAAACACAGUUGAUCCAGCGACAGGCCUGUCCUGGGAGCAGAUGUCUUCAACGCUUGGCCUGGGGCCCCAUCUGGCUGGCUCCACCACAGCUGACUGCUGCAGAAUCUAACGUCUCCGGAGUGUGCCUCUACCUACCCCAGGCCAUGGGCCCCUCAUCCAGUUCGGUCAUGGAGGGUGCACCAGAGUGGACCACCCCAACACAAAAUACAGCCAGAGAACUCAGCCCAAGCUCUGGGCCGGGAGCUCAAGGUCUGCAAGCCAGAGCUGGCAUCUUUCUGGGGGAUGGGCCCAGGCAAAGUGACCACUCUCUUCCAGUCCAGGAGCCGUGAGCUGCAUGGAAAGAAUGUGAAUGAAGACACAAUUCUAAAUGUAGAACCAUGGAUGCUAUGUGAGCUGGCUCUCUGAUCAUCCAGAAAAACAAGGCCUGCGUGUACAUUCUGCAACUGCAUAAAUAAAGCUGUCCUUGGGCAGCGUGCUACAGCACCCCAUCCUUGCAGGCACUUCACUGACCCCGACUCUCAGCAGAACCGCUGGCUUGUGUGGGAGCUGCCCAGCCACCUAAAUGCAUAGUUGAAAAUGGCUUCCCUCUUGCCCGGAUGUGUGUGAUGCUUGCUUAACUUAAGUUGCAGCAAAUUUACUCGGUUCUGCAUCUGUAUUAAUUAGAAAUGUUCAAAGGCCAUAAUGAGGGCAAUGUGGAAUGGGUCCUUUGGGCCAAUAUCUGGGUUUGUGUGUCAUGUUUGAAGCUCACAUCCCUACAAAGAAUGUGAGGCUACUGCCAGUUCUUCCACCCUUGUGGUGUGAUUAUACUGAACUGCUUGUCAGGGGCCUUCAGGAGACUUGUCUUCACUAGUGCUCAGCCUUCUUUAGGAGUCAUUUCCAAACUUCUUCAGGAGUUUCUUGGGCUUAAUAAUAAAACCACUAACAAAAUAGUAGCAACACAUAUAAAACCAUACUCUGUGCCCUGCACUGUUCUGAGUCUUCAUGUAAAUUAACCUACAUGCGGAACACAAUUUCUCUUAAGGUUCGGCACCAUUUUCUUCUAUCCUCAUGAAUUGAUACCUGUCAGGGAGCUAGGGAAAGACAAGAUGGGGGAACCUGUAUUUCCUGAGCACCCGUUGCACAUCAGUCCUGGUCUGUACUUCACUAAAUCCUCAGACUAUCCCUAGUGAUGGCUGUUUAUGCCUGUUCUUUACAGAUGGGUAAACUGAGGCUCGUGGAGGUGGCACUGAUGCAGGUGAGGUUUGCCCCACCUGCCUGUCCGGUCUGGCGUCUCUGUCGUCCAACCUGCCCCAAGCCCAAGUCCAGGGAACAUGGCUUCCUUCCAUCCACCUGUUCUGGUCUCUCCCUGGUAAGAGAGUGACAUCUGGCCAGGGUGCCUCCUUAGCUACUGAUUUGUUAUGGGAACAGCAGGGAUUCUGUACCUUGGUGUCCGUGCAGUGAGAGUGUGUCCUCAGGGCAGAUAGCAGGAUGGAGCAUCACUGCAGGAGUCUGCUUCUGGAGCUCUGUCGGCUGUGUGGUUGACCUGCUGGGCAAUUGGAUCCCUCCUUCAGAUGAGUUUCCUCACCAGGAGCUCUGAGUUGGUCCUUUGGGAAAGGAUAUUGCAUAAUAAUGUGUGUCCAGUGCCAGCUCAGAGGGGCUGGACCUAUGGGGGUAGGUGGGGGUGAGGGGUCCUGUUUGCAGCUCAUGGCUGGGAAACAGCCCAUUGGCCCAGGUUGCUGAGACCCCAUCUUUCCCAGCCUGGUGCCAGGAUGACAGCUGUCACAGCCAACUGAGGGUCACCUGGGCCAGGGGCUCUCCUUACGGCCUUUCCUUCAGGAUUCUUUGCUUAGGAUUUGCAAUGGAAGAUUUAUGGGAAAGAAACAGAACCUGUGCUGUGAAAUGAAGCAAACCCAGUUUAUUAAAGUGCUAUCAGGCACUCACAAAAUCAUAGUGGACAGCUGGGAGGUCAGUCACCAGUGCAUCUGGAGUCUGUAUAAGUUGUCUCUCUCCAUGAAGGGAUCUGAAAAUUCAGAGUGAGGAGGAGCUGGGGGAGGCAUGCUCCGCUCUCUAGAAUAUAUGUCAAGAGACUCUUUCCACAAAAUGCUAGGGUAACAUUUUCAAGUUUGCAGGGCUUUGUCAUAGCUGCUUAGGUUGGCCGCAGAAAGCAGUCAGAGACGAUUUGUGGCAAAUGGGCAUGGCUGUGUUCCAAUAAAACUUUAUUUAUGGACAUAGA